rnacentral:rRNA from 1 species
UACGUAGGGUGCAAGCGUUGUCCGGAAUUAUUGGGCGUAAAGAGCUCGUAGGCGGCCAGGUAGGUCUGCUGUGAAAACUCGAGGCUCAACCUCGAGACGUCGGCGGAAACCAUCUGGCUAGAGUCCGGAAGAGGAGAGUGGAAUUCCUGGUGUAGCGGUGAAAUGCGCAGAUAUCAGGAAGAACACCCGUGGCGAAGGCGGCUCUCUGGGACGGUACUGACGCUGAGACGCGAAAGCGUGGGGAGCGAACAGG